CACCUCUUCGGGGUAAAUCCCAGAUCCCAACAGAACGGCCAGGAGCCAAAAGUGGUCUAUCCACUGACUACAUUUUAUUCUUACAGGAACCAUGUACCUAAGGGCUGAUGACAAGCUUGCUGCGCAGAGGCAACAGGGGUGGGGGGUUGUGGUGGAGAGGCUGGUUCUUUCUGGUGAGUGUUGCUGGAGACGGGAAUGGUGGCUCGUGCCCCCAGUUACAUAGGCUGGAAAGCCAAGGCUAAA